CAAGUCGAGGGGCAGCGCAGUGUAGCAAUACAUGGGCGGCGACCGGCAAACGGGUGCGGAACACGUACGCAACCUUCCUUCAAGCGGGGGAUAGCUUUCGGAAACGAAAAUUAAUACCCCAUAGUAAUGUCUGAGGGCAUCUGAGGACAUUUAAAGAUUUAUCACUUGAAGAUGGGCGUGCGCCUGAUUAGGUAGUUGGCGGGGUAAUGGCCCACCAAGCCUACGAUCAGUAACUGGUGUGAGAGCACGACCAGUCACACGGGCACUGAGACACGGGCCCGACUCCUACGGGAGGCAGCAGUAAGGAAUAUUGGUCAAUGGACGCAAGUCUGAACCAGCCAUGCCGCGUGGAGGAUGAAGGUCCUCUGGAUUGUAAACUUCUUUUAUCGGCGAAGAAACCCUCGUUUUCUAAUGGGGUUGACGGUACCCGAUGAAUAAGCACCGGCUAACUCCGUGCCAGCAGCCGCGGUAAUACGGAGGGUGCAAGCGUUAUCCGGAUUCACUGGGUUUAAAGGGAGCGUAGGUGGGCUGGUAAGUCAGUGGUGAAAUCUCCGGGCUUAACUCGGAAACUGCCGUUGAUACUAUCAGUCUUGAAUGUUGUGGAGGUAAGCGGAAUAUGUCAUGUAGCGGUGAAAUGCUUAGAUAUGACAUAGAACACCGAUAGCGAAGGCAGCUUGCUACACAAUUAUUGACACUGAGGCUCGAAAGCGUGGGGAUCAAACAGGAUUAGAUACCCUGGUAGUCCACGCCCUAAACGAUGGAUACUCGACAUACGCGAUACACAGUGUGUGUCUGAGCGAAAGCAUUAAGUAUCCCACCUGGGAAGUACGACCGCAGGUUGAAACUCAAAGGAAUUG
rnacentral:rRNA from 1 species